rnacentral:rRNA from 1 species
CAGCAGCCGCGGGAAUACCAGCACCUCGAGUGGUCAGGAGGUUUAUUGGGCCUAAAGCAUCCGUAGCCGGUUGCAUAAGUUUUCGGUUAAAUCUAUGCGCUUAACGUAUAGGCCGCCGAAAAUACUGUGCAGCUAGGGAGUGGGAGAGGUACACGGUACUCGAUAGGAAGGGGUAAAAUCCUUUGAUCUAUUGAUGACCACCUGUGGCGAAGGCGGUGUACCAGAACACGUUCGACGGUGAGGGAUGAAAGCUGGGGGAGCAAACAGGAUUAGAUACCCGGGUAGUCCCUGUCUCUUAUAA